CAUGUAGGUGGUUAUGUAAGUCGAAUGUGAAAUCCUUUGGCUUAACCAAAGAACUGCAUUCGAAACUAUAUAACUUGAGUUCGGGAGAGGAGAGCGGAAUUUCCGGUGUAAGAGUGAAAUCUGUAGAAAUCGGGAGGAACACCAGUGGCGAAGGCGGCUCUCUAGACCGAUACUGACACUGAGAUGCGAAAGCCAGGGGAGCAAACA
rnacentral:rRNA from 1 species